CUUCAUUUGCGUAGGCCAGGAAGAACCAGAGAGGGAGGGAGACGGGAAGGGGAGUCUUGAGAAGAGUUCCGGCGACAACAUGAUGCAACGAGGUUGAACAAUGACGGUCAUGGUUUAAAGACUUGGUAACAGUUUGAGAAGAGUUCAAGAUCGAGCUAUUGUUUUGUAGUAUGAAGUUGUUUGCAGGAGAAAGUGAGGAGAAAGUUGUGGUUGUCAAUUAUUCGUGGGUAUUCUUGAAUAAUUACGACCUGCAGGUUGAUUUGAAGCAUUUGAUGUUGGUUUUAGCAAAGCUCUUACUGUGGAGAUAAAGAUUGAAGCUUUGGUGUCGGGGUGUUCUUCAGAAUAUGUCUUGUAAUAUAUCUAUUAUAUUAAGAUGAAGGCAAGGGAGACGAAGUGGUUUGAAUCGCCUUCGACUGAACUCAGUCGCUGUAACUCACCUCUGAAACGUGCUCUCUCUACUGUUCGCAAAUUAGCAGAGUUGUUCUUUGUGGGCGGAAGGUUUGUCAUUGCAAGUGAUGGUGUUUAGGUGCUUUAUCUGCAGAAACGGCUUGAAAGUUGCAGUCGUGGCACUAGCCCGACACAUUGUUAAUCUAUACAACCUAAGGGAUUAAGAGAUGGAAGAACCAGAGGAGCGCCAAAAGUAGCGGCAGAGCCGGAUCCAUUACUGGAUCAUGCAAAUUGAAUCGUUAAUAUGGAUGUCUUAGAUUUUGAGGUUUAGUGAUUUUCCCUUUCUUUCGAUGGUUGAGUAUAAAGGUAUAAAUAUAUGGGUUAAUGUGUCUAAUAGGGGUUAGCUUUACACUUUGGGUCAAAAUAGAAAGAAAACGGCUGGCUUAUCUUUCAACGGCUUUGCUUUGCGUUGUGGAAUUGGUUUAUUCGAGGGGUUGGCUUUACACUUUGGGUCGAGAGUGUUUUCUUAGUUUGAUGGGUAUAUCAUCAUCGGCGGGGUUUAAUUCAAGUACAACCUUUGUUUAUGAUUUUGACUUGAGGUCAAACUGAAGUUGUCGUAUCAUUGGUCAUUUAUAAAUAUUUACCUCCACCCCCAAAAACCUAUAUAAAUCAUUCUUACACUUCUUACAAUUAGGAUCAUUUCCUCUGUUUAUAUAUGCAUGUAAAUGUAGUUGUAAGUCCAAACUGAGGAUCCACAUUUUAACUUUGCAGGGUUUUCAGAAUCACCUCCAAAAAUCACAAGGGACCAAGGUACACAUUUUAGUUCUGGUACGGUCCUGUUUUGGACCAUUGCACAGUGUGUUUGUUUCAGGUACAGAGCAUUGUAUCCAAACAAGUGGGCCGUACCGAGCAGGUAUUGGUCACGUUUCUCAAUCCUACAUAGGUUUACUUGAACUAGAUAAGUGAAGCUUAAGCUCGGGCUCGUUAUUAGACGAGCUUAUAUGUAGGCUCGAUCUUGUUUUAGCUUGGCUCGAUUCGAGCUUUUAGCUAGCCGAUACCGAGUAGCUCAUGAGCAGCUUGGCUCGUUACGCCCCUAGGCGGCCUGACUGGUAUGUUUUUACCUGCAUGUGACUUUGAGUAUGGGUUUUUAUCUAUCUUGUAGGGCAAGGCAUAAGGGUGCAUUACAGGCCUAUCUUCAUUGGCAUGUAUAAUCUCCCCAUUGAUUUUCAGUCCUUUCUAACAAGUCAAAAAUCACUACUCUUUUUCAUGAUUUUGAUAUUUAAAUGUUAUUUUUAAACAUGUUUUUAUCUUUUUUCUCCCUGCAGCUUUAUUCUCGUCUAAUCAAUUUCCCAAAUAUAUAACAGAUAACAGAUAUGCUGAGGGGAGGGAUCUCUUUAGAACCGCCAAGACUUGCUGUAUCGGGUGAGUCGAGAUAGAAACAGAGAUCUCAUAAUCACUGGUAUGUCUUUCUUUCUAGUUUCAUUUCUAGCUAUAUCAAGAAUCUCCAUCAGUUCGGAUAGGAUAUUUUUAUAUUCUUUGCGCUUUCGAAUAAGCGGUUUUAAUUAUUGUAGAAAGCAUCUUUUGUGUUUAAUUGUGUUUUGGAAAGUGAAAUUAGGAUUACUGAUCUGAUUUUAAUUUUAGGUUUUACAGAAAUUUGUUUCAGCUGGUGCAGUCAAACCAUUGAAGCCACAACUUUAGCUGACGAGGAUUUCCACAUCUUGCUUAAUUUUGACGAUGAAGAUUUAGAGUGACGAGUUUGUUUGUUAUAUACAAUGAUUAGUUUGUUUUUAUAUAUAAUUCUAACUAUUAAUCAUGUUUUGCUAUUUAAGUGUAGUUAAGGGACUGCACAAGCUCUUCAAUUGCCAGAUGUUGCACUCAAACAAAAGAAAAUGCUGUUAAUGUGGACUUCCACCAGAAAGAGAAGAGGAUUAAAGGGCAGUUUAUUCUACAUAUGUGGAGGUUUAGGCUGUGUUUAUGAGUACAUUAUUGACUAAAUGUGACAGGAUAAUUAGUAUCUUUAUGGUAUUUGAUGUUUCGAGUGGGAU